CUACACGAGGCUCUUCCUAUCAGCAAUAUUAACGUUACUGUCGGUGUCUAGAAGCCACAGAGGCUAACGAUUUAGCAAGCUAGCAAGUGGGUAACGUAAUGCAGGAAAUGCAAAGGCAUAAGAGGAAGAAGAUUAGUCAGUUGGGAAUAUUAACAUUU